UUAUUAAUGCUUGGGCUGAACUUUUUUGUUUGGCCAAUAAACUAUUAAACUUUUGUGGGUAUAAAAUUGAAAAAAUUUAAAACUUUCAACAACGGAUCUCUUGGUUCUCGCAUCGAUGAAGAACGCAGCGAAACGCGAUAUGUAAUGUGAAUUGCAGAAUGUGAAUCAUCGAAUCUUUGAACGCACAUUGCGCUCUCUGGUAUUCCAGAGAGCAUACCUGUUUGAGCGUCAGUUCAUUCUCAAAGGAAACUUUGGUAUUGGCUGAAUAAGAGUAUUGGCUGAAAGAUAUUGGUUAGAACGAUGUAAUAAGAUUUCAUCUAGCUAACAUUUAAAAUCUUUUUUAAGUUGACCUCAAAUCAGGUAAGAUU
rnacentral:rRNA from 1 species